rnacentral:lncRNA from 1 species
CCAAUCUGUUUACCCAGGAUGGGGAACAGUAAAAUAUGUUUCAUAAAACCGUCUGUCUGUCUGUCUCAGGAAACCACAAGAAGGGGAGACUUGGGCUAGUUGAGAUAGCUCAGCAGGUAAAAGCACUUGCUACAAAAAACAAAGGACCUAAAUUUGAUCCCAGGAACCCAUGAGAAAAAGUAGGAUGCACUAGUGAGCAUCUGUACUCGCCACACUCCUUCUGCAAGAUGGGAGCUCACAGGAGACUCCAAGCUAGUGGGCACCUAGCCUGGGGACACAGUGCAGCAGAAACAAGAUAAGAGGCGACCCCUGAAAGUUUUCCUCUGAACUUUGCUUGCUGGUGGCAUGUGUGCACACAUACCUCACACUUGCACCACACCCACACAAAAAGGAAAGUAGAAGGGUUUUUUUGUUUGUUUGGGUUGGGUUGGGUUUUUUGUUUGGUUGGCUGGUUGGUUGGUUUUUUGUUUGGAUUGGGUUGGUGUGGUUUGCUUUUUUGAGACAAGGUUCACAGUAUAACAGAGCCACGGCUGUCCUGAGCUUGAUUUGUAUACCAGGCUGGUCUCAAACUCACAGAGAUCCGCUGGCCUCUGCCUCCCAAAUGCAGAGAUUAAAGUUGCCUGGCAUUGAGAUUCCAUUUUCUUAAGGCUC